GACGAACGCUGGCGGCGUGCCUAAUACAUGCAAGUCGAACGCAGUUGGGACGGGUGAGUAACACGUGGGUAACCUCCCAUCAGAGGGGAUAACACUUGGAAACAGGUUCUAAACCGAUCCUGAUGGAUGGACCCGCUGUGCCUUAGCUAGUUGGUGAGGUAACGGCUAACCAAGGCCACGAUGCAUAGCCGACCUGAGAGGGUGAUCGGCAACACUGGAAAGGGGAACCGGCCCAGACUCCUACGGAAGGAAGCAGUGGGGAAUCUUCGGAAAUGGACGAAAGUCUGACCGAGAAACGCCGCGUGAGUGAAGAAGGUUUUCGGAUCGUAAAACUCUGUUGUUAGAGAAGCGGUAUCUAACCAGAAAGCCACGGCUAACUACGUGCCAGCCGCCGCGGUAAUAC
rnacentral:rRNA from 1 species